ensembl:misc_RNA Y_RNA Y RNA
GGAGGAUCUGAAGAUACUGAGUUAUCUCAACUGACUGUUCACAGCCAGUUACAGGUAGAAUUCUUCAUUCCACUUUUUCCUCCCCUCUCACUAGUGCACUUGAUUAGUCUUAA